rnacentral:lncRNA from 1 species
GGCGUGGGAGCACUUUCAAUGCGGGAUAGUGGAGGAACUCUUCGAUCCCAAUCUCAUGUUGCAUAACUACCAUACAAUUAAUGUGAAAAAUGAGGUUGCAAGAGUGUUACAUGUGGGACUUUUGUGCACUCAAGAGAUUCCAUCAUUACGGCCAUCCAUGUCUAAGGCAUUACAAAUGUUCGUCAAGAAAGACGAAAAGUUGCCUUCUCCUACUAAGCCGCCAUUCGUGGAUGAGAAAACCAUGGAACUUCAUGACCCUUGCGAGAUGUACUCGCUUAAACAAGGCGAUUCUGCUACGACUGCUGACUUAUCUCACAGUUCAUUUUACCCCAGAUGAUGACAUCCCAUUGCCCUGAAACUGAAGUGUAAAAUUGGCCUCAACUGGCAACUAAACACUCCAACUUUGCCUAUGCACAUCUAGACACCUCAUUUCUAAAAGUAGGGGGGGGGGAUUGAAUUAUUUUUGUAGUUUGUCUAUAUAAAAUUAUGAGUUUGAUUUAAUGUGGAUCUGAGGCCUCAUUUGUUUUCAUUAAGAUUUAGACGUUUGAAUCUGAAUACAUAUUUGAAUGAUUAAGAUUGUUUGUUUAAACAUCUGAACGUACAUAAUAUUAUAUAUAAUUCAAACAAAAAUUAGUUAAAUAUUAAUAAAAUAAUUAUUUGAUUUUAAAAGAAUAAAACAUUUUUGCUUGCUAAUGAUGAUGAAGAUACUUUGUAGUGGUGGUGGUAAUAGUUGUUGUUAGUGUCUAGUAAUGAUGGUGGUGGUAGUUGUGAUGGUGGAGGUGGUUGGUGUUGUGGUGAUGACUAUCAUAAUGAUGGCAAUUGGUAGUUGUGUUGGAGGUUGUAAUUGUGAAGUUGGUUGAUGUUAGUGGUUGUCGGUGAUAAUGGUGGUGAUUGAUUAUGUGUUUGUGGUAGUUAGCGGCGAUGCUAGUUAUGAGAUGAAGGUGGUUGGUAGUGGAGAUUGACCACAGUAAUGGUAGUGGCUGAUAGUAGUAGUGGAGGUGGCGGUGGUGGGGUUGUGAUAGAAGAAUGUAUGGUGGUAGUUGGCGGCGGUGCUAGUGUGAUGGUAGCAUUUGUUGGUAGUAGGAAUUUUCUUGAAGACUGAAGUGGUGGUAGUGGUUAAGAGUGGUAGUUGAGGUAGCGGGGGAUGUAGAGACGGGAGGUGGUGAUGACAAUUGAUAUAAUUAUAAUAUGGAGGAGGUAAGUGUGGUAGCAGCUUCCAGUAGUGGUUAGCAAUGGUGAUGGUUGUGAUGACAUAGGUGGUUGGUGGUAGACGACAAUAAUUGUGGUUGGCAAUGGUGGUAGUAGCGGUGGUUGUGAUGGCAGAGGUGAGUAGUGGGGGUUGGUGAUUGUGGAUAGAGUGAUGGUGAAUAUUAUCCUCACAAGAAUACUUUAUGAUGUUAAGACUCGGUUCUAGAUCUUAAUAAUUAACACCAAUUUAAACCAAUUAAUUGCUUAAAUCUUAAUGAAAAUAUAUGUUUUUAAUGGUCUAAUGUUUGAACCAUUCAGAUUCAGACAUCAAUUAAGUGCAAACAAAUGAGGCCUUAUCCUAGUCCCCUUGGGUUGCAAGUUCUCCGUACGUUCUUGAAAUUUGUCUUGUUCUGUGAAGUGUAUUUCCUACGGUAUCUUUUUUCUCUUGAUUAAUCCAAUGCCUCACAACAAUAUUUUUCCUCUCUUACCCUAUUUUGAUUACACAGUGUCACAUUAGUGUCGGGUGUUCAUGAAACACAAUGAGGAUGAGUUGGAUGGUAUAGUUGUUUGUUGAGACCAAGUUGAGGUGUCUAGAUGUGUAUUCAUAAAGUUAGAGUGAUGAGGUCAAAUUUGAGUGAUUGUUUAUGUAUUAUAUCUAAAUGAUAAGCAUCUUUUUGCCUCGUCUUCUUGAAAUAGACUUUAUCACGAUCGAGUUGUUAGCUACUUUAGAUCCUUACGCGGUGCAAAUUUAUAUUAGUUGAAUUUUUGAAUUUCAAAUAUCAUAUAAAAUAUACCAAACAAUCAAGCAAGCAACUUGUAAAUAAAUAUAUUUCUAAAAAGUCGUACAUCAACAUCUUAAAAAGUCCUGCACUUGUUUUUCCUUCUAUAAAUUGAAAGUUAAAUCAAUUUCUAAUAAGAACGCAUGUGAAACCUUUAUAGUACCAUAAAUAUUAGUAUAUCUUUUUUUCAAAGACAAACUUCAAAAUUUUUACAUCCACACAUAGAAUUAUAACAUGUCAAAGAUCACAAAAAUAUUUAUUUUCUUGUUAAUUUUCGUAUCAAAUUAAACUUUAUCAUAUAAAUUUGAACAGAAGAAUAUGUUUCUUUCUUCUUCUUUUCUUCUUCUCCUUUGGCAGUAAAUGUACAGUAGAAAAAGACCCUUGUAGACUUCCUAGCCUUUAUUUUGAAAAAUUCAAACAAAUAAUCCUUCCAACAAAUUCUUCCUCUUGUUCACACACAAAAUAAAAUAAAAUAAAUUAUGGUAGAGUAAUAAAUAUUCUUUAUUUUUAAUUAAAAAUUUUAAAUUCAAACUCCAUAGCAUCGUUUUUGUCAGAGAAUAUUUUCUUCACCCCCAAUAUAAAGUUUUUCGGCAUGAUAUAAAUAUGGGACACCAACUUAUCUCCUUUCUACGAUGUAAAAUUUUUCAGCAUGCAUUCAAAUUUAAUCCACUCUAAUAUAGAUAUCAAAUAUCGCCGCCUCGAAAAAAAAAGUUGGAAGUAAAAAAACUUCCCUCACAAAACGACCCACUAAUUAAUACUACCUCCGUCCACUUUUAAUUGUCAUAGUUUUCUUUUUUAGAGUCAAAUUAUAAAAACUUUGACUAACAUUUCACAAUAUAUUCAUAUUGAUAGGUAAAAAAAAUUGCAAUUUAUAGUACUUUUCGUAUAGUUUUUGAAUACCUAAAUUUUUUGUUCAAAAUAUAAAAUUAAUGUAAUCUAAUUUAACUUUAAAAAUAAGUCAAAUUGACUUUCGAAAAGCCCAACAUGGCAAAUAAAAGUGGACAUACGGAUUAUAAAUUGCCCUUCAUUUUUCCUGUUUUCUCUGUUUCUACAACUUCGGCAGCAGCUGAUCAGUUUGCACCGGCGAUAUCUCUCUUUUCCGACUCAAAAUCCGGCGAAUUCAAACCGUUCAGUGUUCACAAGACUUUGUGAGUGUUCUUUCUAUUUUCAGUGAGAUUCAAUGAUUGUGGCAGGCGGUAAAAAAUCCUUCGUACUUAAUAAGUAAGAGUUAUCAAGUUCGAGCUUUAGAAAUGAAGUUAGCUCUUUAAUUUGAGCUGAAUUUGGGCGGGUUAAAUCAAUGAAUGGGUUAUUGUCUGGGUUAAACAACGGGUCAUAGCUCAAUUCGUCUUACUUGACCCAUUACUUGUACAAAUUUCAAACUCAUAUUCUAUGGUAUUUCUAUGGUGUUUUACAUAUAUAAAUAAGAAUAGCAUUUGAUAUCUGGUAUUGUUUUGUUUUGUUUUUGUAGUGAAUAAGAUUCAAUAAUUGCUUAGUUUUCCUGUUAUGAAUUGUGCUAUGUUUAAUUUCAUGGGAUAGAUGAUAUUUAGUUACUCCCUUAGCCUGAAAUGGGCGGGUCAAUAAUCAAUCCAAACUUGGGGAGGUUUGGCGGGUUAUGAUUUCAUGGGAUAAUUAUGUCAUCCUUAGUGAUGGCGGGUAGUAGCUAGUGAUGGUGAUGGUUGGUGGGGUGGUUAACAAUGGUAAUUGAUGGUGGUGGCUACCGAUAAUUGUGAUGGAUGGUAGUAAUAGUUAAUAGGGGUGGUGACUAAUAGCGGUGAUUGGUGAUGGUGGCGAUUGCCCAUAAUGAUUGGUGAUUAUUAUGGUAAUGCUAAUUGGUGGUGAUAGUUGUAAAUGAUGACUGACUGCAGAGAUUGAGGGAAUGGUAGCUGUGGAUGAGGAUGGUGAUUGUGGAGUUGUGAUAAUUGAUAUGAGUGGACAACAAUGAUGACAACGAUUAGCAGUUGUCCCGCCUUUGUUAAAAAAUAUUUUCAUAUUUUUCAAGAUCAAAAGGGUUAUCAACAUUGAAAGUGACAAAAUUGUGUUUCUAAAACAAGUCCAACUCCAAAUGACUUAUCAUCAAUAGAGAUUUCGGUUAAGAAAUUUGGUUGACUGAGGGGAAGGUGUUGGGCACCCUCAAGUAUCAUGGUUCUGGCAUGGAAGAAAACUUUAAUUUCUUUCUCUUUAUGGAUAACCAAUUAAUUUCCAAAUAUAGUUGGGAGAAUUUACCCAAGAAAUGGGCCAAAAAAAUGGAAAGAUCGGAACAUGGGAAUAGAUCUGAUACCAAUACAGACUACCUAUUUCAAUUGUUGUGCUUUAUGAACCUAUACAAGGGUUCAAGUUUCAAUCGAUAUUUGCGGAGUUGAUUAUCCCUCUCGAAAACAAAGAUUUGAAGUGGUCUAUAUGUUUACUGAGUAUUCGGUAUAACUCACUCAUUCGUGUACAAACCAGUGCAGACGAAGUAACACGAAUAUCUCCGAUGGUCAGUCUAUUUCCAUCAGCCGGCCGGUGGGAGCGAGAAGUUUGGGACAUGUUUGGUGUUUCUUCGCUUUACUGACUCGUAUUGGCUUAAAAUAAAAACUUAACUAAACAAACUCACACACACCCAAGUGUGCGCACAAACAAGGUGUUCUAAAACAAUGUCCGAACUAUUACAGUCCAAAACAAACUAUUUUCUUAUGUUUUUUCUCUAAUAGUAGUUCAAUUAGUCCUCUCACAUUGUUUCUGUGUUGUACAGCUCAUUUGGCAAAAAUGGAAAGAGCAACCCCUUCAAUGUUAUUUAGUCACUUUGUUAUUGUGUUGAUCCUACUUCUACCAGAUACAUCAGUGUCUGAACCAAGAUCCCAGAUAGUCCAGCUCAUAUGUGGAAACGAAACAACAGGUACCGUCUCAAUUUUUGUUAAUGGAAUGGAAACUAUAAGUGAACAAAUGAGAACUAGAGGAAAUGGAGUAGCGGCUACAGGCACUGAACCAAAUGUUAGCUAUGGACUUGGCCAAUGCUAUGGUGAUCUUUCAUUACCGGACUGUGUCUUAUGCUUCUCUGAAGUGCGAACCCUUUUUCCCAAGUGCUUCCCUAGUGGCAAGUCGCGAAUUUAUCUUGAUGGCUGCUUUAUGCGAGUGGACAAUUACAAUUUCUAUGACCAGUAUUUUGGUCCAGAGGAUAGGCAUGUAUGCGGAAACAGGACGACAAAGGGUUCAUUGUUCCAGCAAAAUGCAAGGCGAGCCAUUCAGCAAGCAGUUGCAAAUGCACCGAGUAACAAUGGUUACGCGCGUGCUCAAGUGUCAGUGCCCGGGUCUUCCACCAUGACAGCUUAUGUUCUCGCUGAUUGCUGGAAGAAGCUAAGUGCAAACUCCUGCGCAGCGUGUUUGCAAAAUGCAUCUGCAUCCAUGUUGGGAUGCUUGCCUUGGUCAGAAGGUAGAGCCCUUUACACUGGAUGUUUCAUGAGGUAUUCUGAUACAAAUUUUCUCAAUACUAUUUCUACCAGUGGAGGCUCGUCAUCCAGUGGUACGUUUUUCUCUUUUUUCGUCCUGGUUUACUGGUUAUUUAUAAACUAAUUUUUACUUUCAAAUCACCAUAUUGCAGGAAAAGUUGUAGUCAUUGUCGUUGUUGUUGUUAGUUCCGUUGUCGUUUUGGGAGUAGUUGCAUUCAUUGGUUUUGGUGUCUGGAAGAACAAACAAAUCCAGAAGAAGAGAGAAGGUAAAUACUUUUGUGCCAAAAAUUAGUUAUAAAAGUCAUUAAGAUAUCAAUAUAUUGCUGAGUAUAUAUCUUGCGAUUUGCACACAACUGUUCCGAAGACAACUUUCAAGAAUUAACUUGAGGCGUUAUGACCUACUCGUGCUUUUCCUGGGAAAUUUGAACUUGUUAGGUGCAAAUGAUGUUGAGAAAUUAGUGAAGAUCCUUGAUCAAAACAGCUUGAACUUCAAGUAUUCGACACUUGACAAAGCCACGGGUUCAUUUGAUGAGGCCAACAAGCUCGGGCAAGGUGGAUUUGGCACAGUUUAUAAGGUAUACAAUGGCUGAAUGUAGUGUGAUUAUCUUAACAGCAAUGCAAUACCAGAAGUGUUGGCUAUUUAACAGAGUCUGAGGUGCAUUUUGUUGCAGGGUGUUUUGGCUGACGGGAGAGAGAUCGCGGUCAAAAGGCUGUUCUUCAACAACAAACACACAGCUGCAGAUUUUUAUAACGAGGUUAACAUAAUCAGUAGCGUCCAGCACAAAAAAUUUGACAAGGUUAUUGGGAUGCAGCUGCUCAGGAACGGAAAACCUUCUUGUAUACGAGUUACUCCCUAACAAGAGUCUUGAUCGCUUCAUAUUUGGUAAGUAACCAGACUUUGCAACAACAACUACGCCUCAGUCCCACACAAGUUAAGGUCAGCUAUAUAAACCCUCACUAUGUUAUUUAAGCUAAACUCAUGUCAUCAUUGCACCAACUAAAAAGAAAAGUACAAAUAAGGUAACCGACUUUCAUUAAGACUAAGUGGUGUGUUUUCACAUAAGCACGCCCGAAUGAUUUUGUCACGUAUAUUGAUUCUAACCUUCAAAUUUGACAGACGCUAUCAAAGGUAAAGCUCUAAAUUGGGAGAAAAGAUUUGAGAUAAUUAUAGGGACAGCAGAAGGAUUGGUCUACCUACACGAGAACACUAAGACCCGAAUAAUUCAUAGAGACAUAAAAGCAAGCAACAUCCUGUUGGACUCGAGGCUCCGUGCAAAGAUUGCUGAUUUGGUUGGCCAGAUCAUUCCAAGAAGACAAGAGUCACAUAAGCACUGUCAUUGCUGGCACAUUGUUAGUAUUUCUUCGUCUCAUUGUUUAUUUUUUUCGCGUAAAAGUACACAAAAACAAAUAAUGGAUGAUUUACCCUUUUUAUGCAGAGGAUAUAUGGCUCCAGAAUACUUAGCACGCGGUCAGCUAACAGAAAAAGCAGACGUUUACAGCUUUGGAGUUCUUCUACUAGAGAUUGCUACUGGAAGACAAAAUAACAAGAGAAAGAACACCGAAUAUACAGUCAGCUUAGUUUCCGAAGUAAUUUCUGAUCAAUCACUUCUCUCUUGAACCAAAUUUUAAAUCUAGGAAAACAUUUCUGUUCAUUGAUCUUAACUUUAUUGGAUGAAAUUAACAGGUGUGGGAGCACUUUCAACGCGGGAUAGUGGAGGAACUGUUCGAUCCAAAUCCAAUGUUGCAUAACUGCCAUACAAUCAAUGUACAAAAUGAGGUUGCGAGAGUGUUACAUGUGGGACUUUUGUGCACUCAAGAGAUCCCAACAUUACGUCCAUUCAUGUCUAAGGCAUUAAAAAUGCUCGUGAAGAAAGACGAAGAGUUGCCUCCUCCUACUAAUCCGCCAUUCGUGGAUGAGAAAACCAUGAAACUUCACGACCCUUGGGAGAAGAACUUGCUCAAACAAGGUGAUUCUGCUUCGAUUGCCAAGUUAUCUCACAGUUCUUUUUACCCCAGAUGAUGAUAUCUCAGUGCUCCUGAACUGAAAGUGAUGUAAAAAUUAUAGUUAUCUCAAGCUGUCAAGCAUAUUCUUUCGCCUCGUGUUCUUG